UACGGAGGAUCCGAGCGUUAUCCGGAAUUAUUGGGUUUAAAGGGUGCGUAGGCGGCCAGAUAAGUCAGGGGUGAAAGUCGGCAGCUCAACUGUCGCAGUGCCUUUGAUACUGAUGGGCUUGAAUCCAAAUGAAGUGGGCGGAAUAAGACAAGUAGCGGUGAAAUGCAUAGAUAUGUCUUAGAACUCCGAUUGCGAAGGCAGCUCACUAAGCUGGUAUUGACGCUGAUGCACGAAAGCGUGGGGAUCGAACAGG
rnacentral:rRNA from 1 species